rnacentral:rRNA from 1 species
CCGCGGUAUCCUAACCGUGCGAAGGUAGCGUAAUCACUUGUUCUUUAAAUGGGGACUUGUAUGAAUGGCAUCACGAGGGUUAUACUGUCUCCUUUUUCCAAUCAGUGAAUCUAAUCUCCCCGUGAAGAAACGGGGAUACAACUAUAAGACGAGAAGACCCUAUGGAGCUUUAAAUACCUCUUCAAACGUUGGACCUUUCCCCCCAGUUUUUAACUCACUUAUAUUAACCCUGAACGCCAUGAAGACAACUUUUAGGUUGGGGUGACCGCGGAGAACAACAAAACCUCCACGCUGAAUCAGACUUUCCAAGCCUGAACUAAGAGCCACCGCUCAAUGCACUAAAAAAUUAACAUCUAUUGACCCAAUACAUCACUUGAUCAACGAACCAAGUUACCCUAGGGAUAACAGCGCAAUCCAUUUCAAGAGUCCAUAUCGACAAGUGGGUUUACGACCUCGAUGUUGGAUCAGGGUAUCCCAGUGGUGCAGCCGCUACUAAUGGUUCGUUUGUUCAACGAUUAAAACCCUACGUGAUCUGAGUUCAGACCGGA